rnacentral:rRNA from 1 species
UACGGAGGGUGCGAGCGUUAUCCGGAUUUACUGGGUUUAAAGGGUGUGUAGGCGGGCUGGUAAGUCAGGGGUGAGAUCCCGGAGCUCAACUCCGGAACUGCCUUUGAUACUACUGGUCUUGAAUAUUGUUGAGGUAGGCGGAAUGUGUUCAUGUAGCGGUGAAAUGCAUAGAUAUGACACAGAACACCGAUUGCGAAGGCAGCUUACUGGGCAAUGAUUGACGCUGAGGCACGAAAGCGUGGGGGAUCAAACAGG